rnacentral:rRNA from 1 species
CACAAGCAGCGGAGCGUGUGGUUUAAUUCGUUGCUACACGAAGAACCUUACCUGGGUUUGACAUAUAGGUUGUAGGGAACUGAAAAGGGACCGACCCUUCGGGGAGCCUAUACAGGUUGUUGCAUGGCUGUCGUCAGCUCGUGUCGUGAGAUGUUCGGUUAAGUCCGCUAACGAGCGCAACCCUCGUCGUAUGUUAUAUGUGUCAUACGAGACUGCCGGUAAAAAGCCGGAGGAAGGUGAGGAUGAUGUCAAGUCAGCAUGACCUUUAUAUCCAGGGCUACACACACGCUACAAUGGUCUGUACAAUGGGUAGCCAAGCCGCGAGGCGGAGCCAAUCCUGAAAGCAGGUCUCAGUUCAGAUUGCAGUCUGCAACUCGACUGCAUGAAGCCGGAGUUGCUAGUAACCGCAGGUCAGCAAUACUGCGGUGAAUACGUUCCCGGGUCUU